UGCAAACGCACUCUGUGUCACUUUGAUAUUUAGCCUCAUGUGAUGACAAUUUGACAGUUUGCCAGAUAAAGGAGAUGCGUCUUAUCCAUGUGGUCAAGUUUACACCAUGUUGCUCACAUUGAAAACGCCCCUAACACCAU